rnacentral:rRNA from 1 species
GGGGAAUAUUGCACAAUGGACGAAAGUCUGAUGCAGCAACGCCGCGUGGAGGAUGACACAUUUCGGUGCGUAAACUCCUUUUAUAUGAGAAGAUAAUGACGGUAUUAUAUGAAUAAGCACCGGCUAACUCCGUGCCAGCAGCCGCGGUAAU